UGCAAGUCGAACGAACUCUGGUAUUGAUUGGUGCUUGCAUCAUGAUUUACAUUUGAGUGAGUGGCGAACUGGUGAGUAACACGUGGGAAACCUGCCCAGAAGCGGGGGAUAACACCUGGAAACAGAUGCUAAUACCGCAUAACAACUUGGACCGCAUGGUCCGAGUUUGAAAGAUGGCUUCGGCUAUCACUUUUGGAUGGUCCCGCGGCGUAUUAGCUAGAUGGUGGGGUAACGGCUCACCAUGGCAAUGAUACGUAGCCGACCUGAGAGGGUAAUCGGCCACAUUGGGACUGAGACACGGCCCAAACUCCUACGGGAGGCAGCAGUAGGGAAUCUUCCACAAUGGACGAAAGUCUGAUGGAGCAACGCCGCGUGAGUGAAGAAGGGUUUCGGCUCGUAAAACUCUGUUGUUAAAGAAGAACAUAUCUGAGAGUAACUGUUCAGGUAUUGACGGUAUUUAACCAGAAAGCCACGGCUAACUACGUGCCAGCAGCCGCGGUAAUACGUAGGUGGCAAGCGUUGUCCGGAUUUAUUGGGCGUAAAGCGAGCGCAGGCGGUUUUUUAAGUCUGAUGUGAAAGCCUUCGGCUCAACCGAAGAAGUGCAUCGGAAACUGGGAAACUUGAGUGCAGAAGAGGACAGUGGAACUCCAUGUGUAGCGGUGAAAUGCGUAGAUAUAUGGAAGAACACCAGUGGCGAAGGCGGCUGUCUGGUCUGUAACUGACGCUGAGGCUCGAAAGUAUGGGUAGCAAACAGGAUUAGAUACCCUGGUAGUCCAUACCGUAAACGAUGAAUGCUAAGUGUUGGAGGGUUUCCGCCCUUCAGUGCUGCAGCUAACGCAUUAAGCAUUCCGCCUGGGGAGUACGGCCGCAAGGCUGAAACUCAAAGGAAUUGACGGGGGCCCGCACAAGCGGUGGAGCAUGUGGUUUAAUUCGAAGCUACGCGAAGAACCUUACCAGGUCUUGACAUACUAUGCAAAUCUAAGAGAUUAGACGUUCCCUUCGGGGACAUGGAUACAGGUGGUGCAUGGGUUGUCGUCAGCUCGUGUCGUGAGAUGUUGGGUUAAGUCCCGCAACGAGCGCACCCUUAUUAUCAGUUGCCAGCAUUAAGUUGGGCACUCUGGUGAGACUGCCGGUGACAAACCGGAGGAAGGUGGGGAUGACGUCAAAUCAUCAUGCCCUUAUGACUGGGCUAC
rnacentral:rRNA from 2 species